CGGGGCGUAGCUCAGCCUGGCAGAGCGCCUGGUUUGGGACCAGGAGGUCGCAUGUUCAAAUCAUGUCGCCCCGAC
rnacentral:tRNA from 2 species